AUUGAACGCUGGCGGCAUGCUUUACACAUGCAAGUCGAACGGUAACAGGUUAAGCUGACGAGUGGCGAACGGGUGAGUAAUGCAUCGGAACGUGCCCGAUCGUGGGGGAUAACGCAGCGAAAGCUGCGCUAAUACCGCAUACGAUCUGAGGAUGAAAGCGGGGGACCGUAAGGCCUCGCGCGAUCGGAGCGGCCGAUGUCAGAUUAGGUAGUUGGUGGGGUAAAGGCUCACCAAGCCGACGAUCUGUAGCUGGUCUGAGAGGACGACCAGCCACACUGGGACUGAGACACGGCCCAGACUCCUACGGGAGGCAGCAGUGGGGAAUUUUGGACAAUGGGCGCAAGCCUGAUCCAGCAAUGCCGCGUGCAGGAAGAAGGCCUUCGGGUUGUAAACUGCUUUUGUACGGAGCGAAAAGGCUCUCUCUAAUACAGGGGGUUCAUGACGGUACCGUAAGAAUAAGCACCGGCUAACUACGUGCCAGCCGCCGCAGUAA
rnacentral:rRNA from 1 species